rnacentral:lncRNA from 1 species
AUCGACCCUCCAUCAACCACCCAACACCAGCUAAGAGAAAGAGAUGGAUGAGAUCACUUAGAUGUCGAAGGUGUUCUUGCCGGUGAACUUGACCUCGAUGGGGCUGACGUUCUUGCCGAUGCUGCGGAAGUUCUGCCCCACGCCCUGCCUGCCGGCGUUGACCUUCUCCGGGUAGACGCCGUCCUUGGGGUGGAGGUACUGGACCUCGCCGUUGGGGAAGACGCGGUAGAACUGGUAGUUGAUCUUGUACUUGGAGCGCAGCCUGGUGCCGAGCGCCAGGCACUGCUCCUUGCGCGCCAGCUUCAGGAGGUUGGGCCCCUCCCGCAUGAUGGCGGCGCCGCCCGUCGGCAUCUCGAACACCUGCUCCUUGGGGGACGUCCACGUGAUCACGUAGAACUCCUCCACCUGCGCCUUCCGGAGCAGCCCGCCCGUGCUGCCGCCGAAGAUCGGGGACGGGGUGUUGGGGUCAAGCUGCGGGGGCACGAACCCCUUGGGCGCCUCCUGGGUCGCCGCCGCGGGGGCCUCCUCGGCGGCCGCGCGGAGCGGGGCCGGCCCGCGGGAGGACGACGGGAGCGCGAGCUGCGAGGACCGCGGCGCCUUCGCCGCUGGCGACCAGGCCGCGGCCAAGAGGUGGCGCGUCGCGGCGGAGGCUUGCGUGGCCAUGGCCAUCGUCGGCUUGAUUCUCGGACGAGCUGGUGCGGCUUCUUGGAGCAAAGCUAAGAGCAAGAUGGCGAGGAGAGAUGAGGAGUGGAGGGCGCGGCGCAGGCACGCAGCUAAGAGGUGAUGCUCUGCUUU